ACAGGAUUAGAUACCCUGGUAGUCCAUGCCGUAAACGUUGGGCGCUAGGUGUGGGGUCCAUUCCACGGAUUCCGUGCCGCAGCUAACGCAUUAAGCGCCCCGCCUGGGGAGUACGGCCGCAAGGCUAAAACUCAAAGGAAUUGACGGGGGCCCGCACAAGCGGCGGAGCAUGCGGAUUAAUUCGAUGCAACGCGAAGAACCUUACCAAGGCUUGACAUGCGCGGUGGAAUCCCAGAGAUGGGGUGUCAUUUAGUUGGUCGCGUACAGGUGGUGCAUGGUUGUCGUCAGCUCGUGUCGUGAGAUGUUGGGUUAAGUCCCGCAACGAGCGCAACCCUCGUUCCAUGUUGCCAGCACUUCGGGUGGGGACUCAUGGGAGACUGCCGGGGUCAACUCGGAGGAAGGUGGGGAUGACGUCAAAUCAUCAUGCCCCUUAUGUCUUGGGCUUCACGCAUGCUACAAUGGCCAGUACAGAGGGCUGCGAUACCGUGAGGUGGAGCGAAUCCCAAAAAGCUGGUCUCAGUUCGGAUCGGGGUCUGCAACUCGACCCCGUGAAGUCGGAGUCGCUAGUAAUCGCAGAUCAGCAACGCUGCGGUGAAUACGUUCCCGGGCCUUGUACACACCGCCCGUCACGUCAUGAAAGUCGGUAACACCCGAAGCCGGUGGCCCAACCCGUAUGGGGGGGAGCUGCCGAAGGUGGGACUGGCGAUUGGGACGAAGUCGUAACAAGGUAACC
rnacentral:rRNA from 1 species